CCGGGGGCGUGCCUAUACAUGCAAGUCGAGCGGACAGAUGGGAGCUUGCUCCCUGAUGUUAGCGGCGGACGGGUGAGUAACACGUGGGUAACCUGCCUGUAAGACUGGGAUAACUCCGGGAAACCGGGGCUAAUACCGGAUGGUUGUCUGAACCGCAUGGUUCAGACAUAAAAGGUGGCUUCGGCUACCACUUACAGAUGGACCCGCGGCGCAUUAGCUAGUUGGUGAGGUAACGGCUCACCAAGGCGACGAUGCGUAGCCGACCUGAGAGGGUGAUCGGCCACACUGGGACUGAGACACGGCCCAGACUCCUACGGGAGGCAGCAGUAGGGAAUCUUCCGCAAUGGACGAAAGUCUGACGGAGCAACGCCGCGUGAGUGAUGAAGGUUUUCGGAUCGUAAAGCUCUGUUGUUAGGGAAGAACAAGUGCCGUUCAAAUAGGGCGGCACCUUGACGGUACCUAACCAGAAAGCCACGGCUAACUACGUGCCAGCAGCCGCGGUAAUACGUAGGUGGCAAGCGUUGUCCGGAAUUAUUGGGCGUAAAGGGCUCGCAGGCGGUUUCUUAAGUCUGAUGUGAAAGCCCCCGGCUCAACCGGGGAGGGUCAUUGGAAACUGGGGAACUUGAGUGCAGAAGAGGAGAGUGGAAUUCCACGUGUAGCGGUGAAAUGCGUAGAGAUGUGGAGGAACACCAGUGGCGAA
rnacentral:rRNA from 1 species